UACGUAGGGGACAAGCGUUGUCCGGAUUUAUUGGGCGUAAAGAGCGUGUAGGCGGCCAUGCAGGUCCGUUGUGAAAACUCGAGGCUUAACCUCGAGCCGUCGAUGGAAACCGUGUGGCUAGAGUCCGGAAGAGGAGAGUGGAAUUCCUGGUGUAGCGGUGAAAUGCGCAGAUAUCAGGAAGAACACCCGUGGCGAAGGCGGCUCUCUGGGACGGUACUGACGCUGAGACGCGAAAAGCGUGGGGGAGCGAACAGG
rnacentral:rRNA from 1 species